CACGUAGUUAGCCGGGCCUUCCUCCGUGGGUACCGUUAGUGCUUCGUCCCCACGAACAGCGGUUUACACGCCGAAACGCGUCAUCCCGCACGCGGCGUUGCUCCGUCAGGCUUUCGCCCAUUGCGGAAAAUUCCUUGCUGCUGCCUCCCGUAGGAGUCGGGGCCGUGUCUCAGUCCCCGUGUGGCUGAUCAUCCUCUCAGACCAGCUACCGAUCAUCGCCUUGGUGAGCCGUUACCCCACCAACUAGCUAAUCGGCCGCAGCCUCCUCCACCGGCGGGUUACCCCUUUCCUUACCCUUCCCACUCGAAGGACAAGCGCAUACGGAAUUACCCGGCGUUUCCGCCGGCUACCCCCUGCCAGUGGGCAGAUUGGCCACGUGUUCCUCACCCGUCCGCCACGUGAGCCUCCCGAAGGAGACCCCGUUCGACUUGCAUGCAUUAGGCACGCCGCCAGCGUUGAUCCUGAGCCAGGAUCAAACUCU
rnacentral:rRNA from 1 species